GACGAACGCUGGCGGCGUGCUUAACACAUGCAAGUCGAACGAUGAUGCCCAGCUUGCUGGGUGGAUUAGUGGCGAACGGGUGAGUAACACGUGAGUAACCUGCCCCUGACUCUGGGAUAAGCGUUGGAAACGACGUCUAAUACUGGAUAUGACUACUGGCCGCAUGGUCUGGUGGUGGAAAGAUUUUUUGGUUGGGGAUGGACUCGCGGCCUAUCAGCUUGUUGGUGAGGUAAUGGCUCACCAAGGCGACGACGGGUAGCCGGCCUGAGAGGGUGACCGGCCACACUGGGACUGAGACACGGCCCAGACUCCUACGGGAGGCAGCAGUGGGGAAUAUUGCACAAUGGGCGAAAGCCUGAUGCAGCAACGCCGCGUGAGGGAUGACGGCCUUCGGGUUGUAAACCUCUUUUAGUAGGGAAGAAGCGAGAGUGACGGUACCUGCAGAAAAAGCACCGGCUAACUACGUGCCAGCAGCCGCGGUAA
rnacentral:rRNA from 1 species